GCGCCUUUAGCUCAGCUGGUAGAGCAACGGACUCUUAAUCCGCAGGUCCUGGGUUCGAACCCCAGAGGGCGCA
rnacentral:tRNA from 1 species